UAGCUUGCUACCUGACCUAGCGGCGGACGGGUGAGUAAUGCUUAGGAAUCUGCCUAUUAGUGGGGGACAACAUUCCGAAAGGAAUGCUAAUACCGCAUACGCCCUACGGGGGAAAGCAGGGGAUCUUCGGACCUUGCGCUAAUAGAUGAGCCUAAGUCAGAUUAGCUAGUUGGUGGGGUAAAGGCCUACCAAGGCGACGAUCUGUAGCGGGUCUGAGAGGAUGAUCCGCCACACUGGGACUGAGACACGGCCCAGACUCCUACGGGAGGCAGCAGUGGGGAAUAUUGGACAAUGGGCGAAAGCCUGAUCCAGCCACGCCGCGUGUGUGAAGAAGGCCCUUUGGUUGUAAAGCACUUUAAGCGAGGAGGAGGCUACUUGGAUUAAUACUCUAGGAUAGUGGACGUUACUCGCAGAAUAAGCACCGGCUAACUCUGUGCCAGCAGCCGCGGUAAUACAGAGGGUGCGAGCGUUAAUCGGAUUUACUGGGCGUAAGGCGUGCGUAGGCGGCUUUUUAAGUCGGAUGUGAAAUCCCUGAGCUUAACUUAGGAAUUGCAUUCGAUACUGGGAAGCUAGAGUAUGGGAGAGGAUGGUAGAAUUCCAGGUGUAGCGGUGAAAUGCGUAGAGAUCUGGAGGAAUACCGAUGGCGAAGGCAGCCAUCUGGCCUAAUACUGACGCUGAGGUACGAAAGCAUGGGGAGCAAACAGGAUUAGAUACCCUGGUAGUCCAUGCCGUAAACGAUGUCUACUAGCCGUUGGGGCCUUUGAGGCUUUAGUGGCGCAGCUAACGCGAUAAGUAGACCGCCUGGGGAGUACGGUCGCAAGACUAAAACUCAAAUGAAUUGACGGGGGCCCGCACAAGCGGUGGAGCAUGUGGUUUAAUUCGAUGCAACGCGAAGAACCUUACCUGGUCUUGACAUAGUAAGAACUUUCCAGAGAUGGAUUGGUGCCUUCGGGAACUUACAUACAGGUGCUGCAUGGCUGUCGUCAGCUCGUGUCGUGAGAUGUUGGGUUAAGUCCCGCAACGAGCGCAACCCUUUUCCUUAUUUGCCAGCGGGUUAAGCCGGGAACUUUAAGGAUACUGCCAGUGACAAACUGGAGGAAGGCGGGGACGACGUCAAGUCAUCAUGGCCCUUACGACCAGGGCUACACACGUGCUACAAUGGUCGGUACAAAGGGUUGCUACCUAGCGAUAGGAUGCUAAUCUCAAAAAGCCGAUCGUAGUCCGGAUUGGAGUCUGCAACUCGACUCCAUGAAGUCG
rnacentral:rRNA from 1 species